UUGUUUAUCUCUUCCAAUUGAGAUUCUCAAUUUGAGAAAAGUUAUUUUUUAUUUUCUCUUUUUGUUCUUUUCUUUUAUAGUUACAAAGUUUAUCCAGUCACCUUGUUAAUCGUAAGGUUAUAGGGUUACAUAUUUUCAGUGUCUUUCUAUUCUGAUUCCUCUGAUUCUCCCUGUAAAGAUUGAGGAAAAUGAGUAAACAACAACAUGAUGCAGGGAAGGGGAAGGUCUUUUUCUUCAGCUCUCUCGUCUUUUGGUUCUUGGAUCGAACAGGGAAAUAAGGUUUUUCCAUCCUCAUGCAAAAUUCAAACCUCAAUCAUCUUUACCAUCAUCAUCUUCUCAUCUCUUUUUAUUUCUACACUUUAUCCUCUACCUUUUCUUUUCAUCUUCUAUGUUUUUCUCUCUUUCUAUCUUUUCCUUUUCUAUUAUAUUAUUAUAUUAUACUCUUUGUUUUACAGUUCUAGAUUCACAUUGGAAGGAAAAUCUCCCAGAAACAAUUUCAUCAUCAUCUCUACCACCUCAACCUCCGCCAUUAUCAUCAUCAUGAUUCUGAAUCAUCUUCUAAAAUGGGUAAAGAAAAAUUGUUCAUGAUUGAGGUCUAUAUCAUCAUCAUCAUCUCUGAUCAUUUUGAUUGUUUGAACAAACCAAAUCAAGGAGGAAAAAAAACUGUAAAUCCAAUCAGAAAUUAAAUCUAGAAGAUAAAAUUACCAAUAAUCAUAAUAAUAUCAAGGUAAGAAAGGUAAACAUACAUUAGGCUUGUAUGUUUAUUCAACAUCAACAUCAUCAUCAACACAAACACAUCAAAGGUUAACCACACAACGCACUGGAGAAACAAUUAUAUCAACAAUCAAGCUUUUAUUUUCUGCGUCAAAUCAUCAAUCAAAACUAAACCAACUUCUUGAUUAGUGUGUUGGAAAAAACUAAAAGAGAGAAUGACAAUAACGAUGACAAAAAAAGACACACAAUCAGUCAGGUAACAAUCAAAUUGGAAUUGCAAUUAAAUACCUGGGAGUAAAAUUAACAAUCAACUGGAUGGAAAGAGAAGCCAAUCACAAUUAACGCAACAAUCGAAUCAAAUUAAUCUAAAGUAAAAACCAACAAUUAACUCUAAUAAUAAUGAUGAGAAAUUAAAUCCAUAGAUUGACCUUAAAAGAUUGGUCAAGUUCACGAUAUCGAUAAAGCAAAAUCGGAGAGGUCAUUUAAAGUUGAGGAUAAUAAACUAAUCACCAUGAGAUGACGAUGAUGGUAAUGAUAAUAUCUUUAAUUGUCUCGGUUGGUUAAACUCAAUGAGAAAGUAAUUAAUCCAAACAAUCAAAACAAAACAAAAAGUUUCGAGGCCAAGGUUAAAUUGGUUAUUUGGUUUAUCAACUAAUCUGACAGUUUACCUUACAAAUCAUGUUGAAUGUUAAUGAUUAUCAUGAUAAUUAUCAUCUUAAUAUAUUAAAUUGUUGUUGAAAUGAUCAAGGAAAUAAUAAAAUUCACUCCCAGGGCGUUGUCAUAAUGAUCAUCAACAUGAUAACAAUUAACUAGCAUCUGGUUAUCAUUAUGAUGAUUUACCUUUUCUCAUAAUGAUGAUUAUAAAUGUAUAUCUAUCUGAUAGUUGAUUGAUUGUUGAUAUUACAAUUGUUACCGAAAGCUUUUUCCUCCUUGAAUUAGUUUCAACAAUUGUUGUUGUUUGGUUAAAUUGUUCCGUUCCUGGUUCCUAAAACUGUUAAUUGUUGCAAUGAUUUUCUUGCUUCAAUCCAUUGAUGAAAUUUACCUUCUUCUAAUGAUCCAAUGUUAUAUACAUGUAAUUAAAAGUCUUAAUGUUUUACUAAUCAUUAA